UUAAGCGACUAAGCGUACACGGUGGAUGCCCUGGCAGUCAGAGGCGAUGAAGGACGUGCUAAUCUGCGAAAAGCGUCGGUAAGGUGAUAUGAACCGUUAUAGCCGGCGAUGUCCGAAUGGGGAAACCCAGUGCAAUUCGUUGCACUAUCGUUAACUGAAUACAUAGGUUAACGAGGCGAACCGGGGGAACUGAAACAUCUAAGUACCCCGAGGAAAAGAAAUCAACCGAGAUUCCCCCAGUAGCGGCGAGCGAACGGGGAGCAGCCCAGAGUCUGAAUCAGCUUGUGUGUUAGUGGAACGGUCUGGAAAGUCCGACGGUACAGGGUGAUAGUCCCGUACACCAAAAUGCACAGGCUGUGAACUCGAAGAGUAGGGCGGGACACGUGGUAUCCUGUCUGAAUAUGGGGGGACCAUCCUCCAAGGCUAAAUACUCCUGACUGACCGAUAGUGAACCAGUACCGUGAGGGAAAGGCGAAAAGAACCCCGGCGAGGGGAGUGAAAAAGAACCUGAAACCGUGUACGUACAAGCAGUGGGAGCACCUUCGGGUGUGACUGCGUACCUUUUGUAUAAUGGGUCAGCGACUUAUAUUCUGUAGCAAGGUUAACCGUAUAGGGGAGCCGCAGGGAAACCGAGUCUUAACUGGGCGUUAAGUUGCAGGGUAUAGACCCGAAACCCGGUGAUCUAGCCAUGGGCAGGUUGAAGGUUGGGUAACACUAACUGGAGGACCGAACCGACUAAUGUUGAAAAAUUAGCGGAUGACUUGUGGCUGGGGGUGAAAGGCCAAUCAAACCGGGAGAUAGCUGGUUCUCCCCGAAAGCUAUUUAGGUAGCGCCUCGUGAACUCAUCUUCGGGGGUAGAGCACUGUUUCGGCUAGGGGGUCAUCCCGACUUACCAACCCGAUGCAAACUACGAAUACCGAAGAAUGUUAUCACGGGAGACACACGGCGGGUGCUAACGUCCGUCGUGAAGAGGGAAACAACCCAGACCGCCAGCUAAGGUCCCAAAGUCAUGGUUAAGUGGGAAACGAUGUGGGAAGGCACAGACAGCCAGGAUGUUGGCUUAGAAGCAGCCAUCAUUUAAAGAAAGCGUAAUAGCUCACUGGUCGAGUCGGCCUGCGCGGAAGAUGUAACGGGGCUAAACCAUGCACCGAAGCUGCGGCAGCGACACUAUGUGUUGUUGGGUAGGGGAGCGUUCUGUAAGCCUGCGAAGGUGACCUGUGAGGGUUGCUGGAGGUAUCAGAAGUGCGAAUGCUGACAUAAGUAACGAUAAAGCGGGUGAAAAGCCCGCUCGCCGGAAGACCAAGGGUUCCUGUCCAACGUUAAUCGGGGCAGGGUGAGUCGACCCCUAAGGCGAGGCCGAAAGGCGUAGUCGAUGGGAAACAGGUUAAUAUUCCUGUACUUGGUGUUACUGCGAAGGGGGGACGGAGAAGGCUAUGUUAGCCGGGCGACGGUUGUCCCGGUUUAAGCAUGUAGGCUGGUUGUCCAGGCAAAUCCGGAUAAUCAAGGCUGAGGUGUGAUGACGAGGCACUACGGUGCUGAAGUAACAAAUGCCCUGCUUCCAGGAAAAGCCUCUAAGCAUCAGGUAACAUUAAAUCGUACCCCAAACCGACACAGGUGGUCAGGUAGAGAAUACCAAGGCGCUUGAGAGAACUCGGGUGAAGGAACUAGGCAAAAUGGUGCCGUAACUUCGGGAGAAGGCACGCUGGUGUGUAGGUGAAGUCCCUGCGGAUGGAGCUGAGACCAGUCGAAGAUACCAGCUGGCUGCAACUGUUUAUUAAAAACACAGCACUGUGCAAACACGAAAGUGGACGUAUACGGUGUGACGCCUGCCCGGUGCCGGAAGGUUAAUUGAUGGGGUUAUCCGUAAGGAGAAGCUCUUGAUCGAAGCCCCGGUAAACGGCGGCCGUAACUAUAACGGUCCUAAGGUAGCGAAAUUCCUUGUCGGGUAAGUUCCGACCUGCACGAAUGGCGUAAUGAUGGCCAGGCUGUCUCCACCCGAGACUCAGUGAAAUUGAACUCGCUGUGAAGAUGCAGUGUACCCGCGGCAAGACGGAAAGACCCCGUGAACCUUUACUAUAGCUUGACACUGAACAUUGAGCCUUGAUGUGUAGGAUAGGUGGGAGGCUUUGAAGCGUGGACGCCAGUCUGCGUGGAGCCAACCUUGAAAUACCACCCUUUAAUGUUUGAUGUUCUAACGUUGGCCCCUUACCGGGGUUGCGGACAGUGUCUGGUGGGUAGUUUGACUGGGGCGGUCUCCUCCCAAAGCGUAACGGAGGAGCACGAAGGUUAGCUAAUCCUGGUCGGACAUCAGGAGGUUAGUGCAAUGGCAUAAGCUAGCUUGACUGCGAGCGUGACGGCGCGAGCAGGUGCGAAAGCAGGUCAUAGUGAUCCGGUGGUUCUGAAUGGAAGGGCCAUCGCUCAACGGAUAAAAGGUACUCCGGGGAUAACAGGCUGAUACCGCCCAAGAGUUCAUAUCGACGGCGGUGUUUGGCACCUCGAUGUCGGCUCAUCACAUCCUGGGGCUGAAGUAGGUCCCAAGGGUAUGGCUGUUCGCCAUUUAAAGUGGUACGCGAGCUGGGUUUAGAACGUCGUGAGACAGUUCGGUCCCUAUCUGCCGUGGGCGCUGGAGAAUUGAGGGGGGCUGCUCCUAGUACGAGAGGACCGGAGUGGACGCAUCACUGGUGUUCGGGUUGUCAUGCCAAUGGCACUGCCCGGUAGCUAAAUGCGGAAGAGAUAAGUGCUGAAAGCAUCUAAGCACGAAACUUGCCCCGAGAUGAGUUCUCCCUGAGACUUUAAGUCUCCUGAAGGAACGUUGAAGACGACGACGUUGAUAGGCCGGGUGUGUAAGCGCAGCGAUGCGUUGAGCUAACCGGUACUAAUGAACCGUGAGGCUUAACCU
rnacentral:rRNA from 1 species